GGUGAUGCCACAUGCAAUCAGAAACUAUGCCAUUGGUGAAGAGGUAUAUUGAGCCCUGCCUGGUUAACCUCCAGUGAGGUUAUUAGAGAAUUGGGAGAGGCUCAAAUCAGCAUCCUGCACCUAGUUAUCAAACCAUUGUGAAGUCUUGAUUUCUGGAUGUCCAGAAAACAUCUCAUUGGUCAAGAGCAACAUUAAGAUCUGCCUGUUAUCAUACUGAUGCUUCCUGCCUAGCAAGUUCAUCAGAGGAAGAGGAUGAAUUACGGUUGCCAUGGAUGUCCUUGUGAGGCAGUUGGGAAGCCUUGGCUGGAUUGUGAAGGGUAUUUGAAAAGUAUUUUGGAGUCCACCAGAUCCUCCAUGUGAAUGACCAUGCAGCAAAAGAAGGAGGGUCCUGUCAGUGAUUAAGGUAACAUAGUGAUUAAGGUAAGUAGGGGAAGAGAGGCUUACUUUGCCCUGAUUCUUGUCAGGGAGGCUCUUAGAACUGCCAUUUCCAGAGCAUAAGUGAUAGGCCAGCACUUUCAAAGCCUGCAACUUAUUCUAUAAUAUAUCCUUCUUAAAACAAUUCAUGUAGAUUAUAUGCUUAUCCAGUCUGUGAUCACUCCUGCAGAAGAUCAGAAGAACUGAAAUAUGGGUGACAUAGGCUCUUACUUUUGUAAAUAUUUUGUUGAAACACAGUUGUGUUCAUUCAUUAUUGUCGAUGGCAGCUUUCAUUGCUACAGCAGAGAUGAGUAGUUGGGAGAGAAACCAUAUGGACCAUGGAGUUUGAAAUAUUACUGUCUGGCCCUUCACAGAAAGUUUGCCAAUUCCUGGCAUAGGUUAAAUAAAUGUACUAUGUCUACAAAUCCUCCUCUCCCCAUUUUCCUUUCAAUGGGACUUGCAUUUACAGUUGAUCCUAGAACAUAUGGAAUCUCAUAGUAAUCAUCUUGCUUCUGAAUUUCUUCCCACUCAAAUUAAGCUCACCUAGAAAGCACAUUCACAAAUUGGGCUACAUAUACAGAAGGAACUAUGUUUUAUAUGCCUCAUCGUAGUCAACUCAUUUAUCCUAUAUGUAUGGUUCCCCCAUUUUUUCCUUCUUUUCAGGGGUGACUUUUAAACUUGAGCCAUUCAUGAGUAUCCAAAAAGUUACAACUUAUGUUUUCUAAUUAAGACUUUGUCCUUAUUUUAGUAUACUUACCCUCUCUGGCUUUUUUGCAUAUUUCUGCAGAUGUCUUGACCUUUCUGGGGAAUAAGCCCCUUUAGAAGAUUAAUUUUCUGUAGUUCUCUAUUGAGGAAAUACAUGACAUUUAGCUUUUUAAUAAUUUGAUGCCAUUCAUUGAGCACCUACUGUGUGCUUUAUGUACCCUGUCUCAUUGAAUUUUUACAGAAAACUGGAAGAGUUAGUUUUGUGUUAUUACUACCUCCAU